rnacentral:rRNA from 1 species
CACACUGUAAACGAUGAAUGCCAGGUGUAGGGGGUAUCGACCCCUUCUGUGCCGCAGUUAACACAAUAAGCAUUCCGCCUGGGGAGUACGGUCGCAAGAUUAAAACUCAAAGGAAUUGACGGGGGCCCGCACAAGCAGCGGAGCAUGUGGUUUAAUUCGAAGCAACGCGAAGAACCUUACCAGGUCUUGACAUCCAGGUAAACCCUGAGAGAUCAGGCGUGCCUUCGGGCAAUCUGAGACAGGUGG